GUUAUUUUGGCAGAUUAGUGUAAUGAAUUUAGAAUUCAAGAAUGUAAUUAUAUUACAAAUAAUA
rnacentral:tRNA from 1 species